rnacentral:rRNA from 1 species
CCUACGGGAGGCAGCAGUCGAGAAUCAUUCACAAUGGGGGAAACCCUGAUGGUGCGACGCCGCGUGGGGGAAUGAAGGUCUUCGGAUUGUAAACCCCUGUCAUGUGGGAGCAAAUUAAAAAGAUAGUACCACACGAGGAAGAGACGGCUAACUCUGUGCCAGCAGCCGCGGUAAUACAGAGGUCUCAAGCGUUGUUCGGAAUCACUGGGCGUAAAGCGUGCGUAGGCUGUUUCGUAAGUCGUGUGUGAAAGGCGCGGGCUCAACCCGCGGACUGCACAUGAUACUGCGAGACUAGAGUAAUGGAGGGGGAACCGGAAUUCUCGGUGUAGCAGUGAAAUGCGUAGAUAUCGAGAGGAACACUCGUGGCGAAGGCGGGUUCCUGGACAGUAACUGACGCUGAGGCACGAAGGCCAGGGGAGCGAAAGGGAUUAGAUACCCCAGUAGUC